rnacentral:rRNA from 1 species
AACGAACGCUGGCGGCAUGCCUAACACAUGCAAGUCGAACGAUACCGGCUGGUCUUGGUGCGAACGGGUUGGUAAGGGGAGGGAAGCUUCCCGUAGGUUCGGUAUAACUUCCCGCAAGGGGUGCUAAUACCGGAUAAUGUCUUCUGACCAACGAUUUAUCGCCUUUGGAUGGGUCCGCGUUAGAUUAGCUACUUGGUAACGUAAAAGCCUACCGAGGCUACACUACAUAGCUGGUCUGGGAGGAUGACCCGACACCCUGGGACUGUGACCGGGACCAGACGCCUACGGAAGGCAGCAAUGGGGAAUAUUGGACGACGCGCGAGAGCAUGAUCCAUUCGUGCCGUGUGAGUGAUGAAGUCCUUAAGAUCGUAAAGCUCUGUUAACAGGGAUGCUAAUGACGGUACCGACCCAAUAAGCUCCGGCUAACUCCGUG